UAGCAAAAGUGAGCUGAAAUA
rnacentral:piRNA from 1 species